rnacentral:misc_RNA from 1 species
AAGUCGUAACAAGGUCUCCGUUGGUGAACCAGCGGAGGGAUCAUUACCGAGUUACAAACUCCAAACCAUUGUGAACCUUACCUAGUUGCUUCGGCGUGCCGACCUGGGUGCGGCUCAGGCUGCAACCCGGGCCCAGGGCGGCCGCCGGUAACCCAAACCUCUGUUUCUACAGUGAACUUCUGAGUGGCAUAAAGCAAAUAAUCAAAACUUUCAGCAACGGAUCUCUUGGCUCUG